rnacentral:rRNA from 1 species
AUUGACUUUUAAAUGAGGCCUGGAAUGAAUGAAUUUAUGGGUAAAUACUGUCUUAAGUAAAUUGUUUAAAAGUUUCUUAAUAGGUGAAAAUUCCUUUAAAAAUUUAAUAGACGAGAAGACCCUGGGAGUUUAAUUAUUAUAUUUUGUUGGGGCGGCAAUUUAACAAAUAACUUAAAUUUUUAAAUGUUCUAAACGAAGAUUUUUAAUUAGGGAUAAACUACCCCAGGGAUAACAGCAUAAUUUUUUGAAAGUUUGUGACCUCGAUGUU